rnacentral:rRNA from 1 species
GAAGGGUGCAAGCGUUACUCGGAAUUACUGGGCGUAAAGCGUGCGUAGGCGGUUUGUUAAGUCUGUCGUGAAAGCCCCGGGCUCAACCUGGGAAUGGCGAUGGAUACUGGCGAGCUAGAGUACGGUAGAGGAGAGUGGAAUUCCCGGUGUAGCAGUGAAAUGCGUAGAGAUCGGGAGGAACAUCAGUUGCGAAGGCGGCUCUCUGGACCAGUACUGACGCUGAGGCACGAAAGCGUGGGGAGCAAACAGGAUUAGAUACCCUGGUAGUCCACGCCCUAAACGAUGCGAAAUUGGCACGGUGGGAGCAAUUAGGCUCUCAGUGUCGAAGCUAACGCGUUAAGUUCGCCGCCUGGGGAGUACGGUCGCAAGACUG